UCUGUGUCUUGCAUCACAAAGAGACUUAGA
rnacentral:piRNA from 1 species